rnacentral:lncRNA from 1 species
AAAAAGAAAACAAUUAAACAUAAUAUAAAUUGUCGUUAUGUUAUACAAAUAAUUAAAUCAACAACAGAUAAUUAAAAUUACACAUCAAGGUCAGUCAGGCGGCUGAUUUAGUGGUCGCUUCCCCUUGCCACUGUAUGUUGGCUGACGCGGCCUUCCUUGGCCUCGGCCUCUACCUCCCUCAUUUAUUGUGACUGGGGGAGUGUCACUCGCGGAG